rnacentral:rRNA from 1 species
GUGCCAGCCGCCGCGGUAAUACCGGCAGCCCAAGUGAUGGCCGCUGUUAUUGGGCCUAAAGCGUCCGUAGCUGGCUGCGCAAGUCCGUCGGGAAAUCCACUCGCCCAACGAGUGGGCGUCCGACGGAAACUGCACAGCUUGGGACCGGAAGGCUCGAAGGGUACGUUCGGGGUAGGAGUGAAAUCCCGUAAUCCUGGACGGACCGCCGAUGGCGAAAGCACCUCGAGAGGACGGACCCGACAGUGAGGGACGAAAGCCAGGGUCUCGAACCGGAUUAGAUACCCUAGUAGUCC